UGCAGCUGCUGUAAAUAAAAAUGCCCUCAUCCUUUCUGUCCGAAGAAUUGGCUGAAAAUUCUGGCCCUUUACCAGCGAAUACAGUUACUAAAUCAACAAUAUGAAGUUUGUGCUAGAGCUGCUGUGUUUGUGCCUUCUGUUUGGAAACACGUUUAGUGAUGAAGAAGGGCGUGCGCCUGGGAACACCCACGGAGACAAGAGUAUUACAUACAUGGGUAUGAUUCCGGACAACACAGGACCAGAUGGCAUUGUUACCAAGGCCCUAGCAGCCUUAAGUGGGCUGUCUGGAGAAUUGGCCCAAAACUCUGGAGUCAACAAUCCCUUUGGUGACAGAUCAGAGGGGAGCCCAGGGUCUCUUUUACCGCUGGCUCAAUUCUCCUCACUCCCCUUGUUGGCGUUGGUGUCCUUCUUGCUGUGCUAGUGAUGUAUGUGAGUUACAUCCCAUGAAGACGUAAUGAAGCAGAAUCAUCAGCAGAAAAGACUUGAGUCUCUCAGAGACCUUUUAGAGCAGCCACCUGAUCCAUAAAGAAACAGGACAGCUCCUGUUUCUGAAACAUCAAGAUUUGGGUGCACUGGGUGUGCUGCCUGUAGGGAAAAAGCCAUCCUUAGCUUUCCCGGUGCUUCAGCAGGGACUCCAGUCUCCCUGCUCUGUCAGGAAACCAUUGCAGGAAUGAUCUGGUCUGUAGGCUAGAAGUCAGCAUUGUUGGUUUUCUCCGUCGGCGUCUGAACUCGGACUCCCCUUGACACUCUGCUGGACUGUUGUUGGAGUGUGAACAUGGUUCCUUGUGAUGAGUCUCCACUGCAGCGCUGAUGCCCAACCGCACCUUGUAUGAUUCUCUCCACCUGGACCUGGACCCCUUGAACAGAUGACGUCAUCAGGCUGAAUGACUUUAUCAGCAGGAAUCUGGAGGCUGCUUUCACCUGUGAAUAAAAUUACAUCGAGUUGCCUUGUGCUGAAAUGUGCUAUAUAAAUAAAAUUGCCUUGCCUUAUCUCAACUACCUGAAA